CACCGCGGUUAUACGAGAGACUCAAGUUGUUAAAUCACGGCGUAAAGAGUGGUUAAAAUGUAUUAAAAAAUAGAGCCGAACACUUACAAAGUUGUUAUAAGCACACGAAAUUAAGAAGCCCAAUCACGAAAGUGGCUUUAUAUAAUUUGAGCCCACGUAAGCUAGGACA
rnacentral:rRNA from 2 species